UACUCAGGAGACGAUACCUCGGGAACUGAGGCUAAUAGUUCAUAGGGGAGUCGCGCUGGAAAUGCCGACUCCCCCAAACGCUCCGGCGCCGUAGGAUGUGUCUGCGGCCGAUUAGGUAGACGGUGGGGUAACGGCCCACCGUGCCGAUAAUCGGUACGGGUUGUGAGAGCAAGAGCCCGGAGACGGAAUCUGAGACAAGAUUCCGGGCCCUACGGGGCGCAGCAGGCGCGAAACCUUUACACUGCACGCAAGUGCGAUAAGGGGACCCCAAGUGCGAGGGCAUAUAGUCCUCGCUUUUCUCGACUGUAAGGCGGUCGAGGAAUAAGAGCUGGGCAAGACCGGUGCCAGCCGCCGCGGUAAUACCGGCAGCUCAAGUGAUGACCGAUAUUAUUGGGCCUAAAGCGUCCGUAGCCGGCCAUGAAGGUUCAUCGGGAAAUCCGCCAGCUCAACUGGCGGGCGUCCGGUGAAAACCACAUGGCUUGGGACCGGAAGGCUCGAGGGGUACGUCCGGGGUAGGAGUGAAAUCCCGUAAUCCUGGACGGACCACCGAUGGCGAAAGCACCUCGAGAAGACGGAUCCGACGGUGAGGGACGAAAGCUAGGGUCUCGAACCGGAUUAGAUACCCGGGUAGUCCUAGCUGUAAACGAUGCUCGCUAGGUGUGACACAGGCUACGAGCCUGUGUUGUGCCGUAGGGAAGCCGAGAAGCGAGCCGCCUGGGAAGUACGUCCGCAAGGAUGAAACUUAAAGGAAUUGGCGGGGGAGCACUACAACCGGAGGAGCCUGCGGUUUAAUUGGACUCAACGCCGGACAUCUCACCAGCUCCGACUACAGUGAUGACGAUCAGGUUGAUGACCUUAUCACGACGCUGUAGAGAGGAGGUGCAUGGCCGCCGUCAGCUCGUACCGUGAGGCGUCCUGUUAAGUCAGGCAACGAGCGAGACCCGCACUUCUAAUUGCCAGCAGCAGUUUCGACUGGCUGGGUACAUUAGAAGGACUGCCGCUGCUAAAGCGGAGGAAGGAACGGGCAACGGUAGUCAGUAUGCCCGAAUGAGCUGGGCUACACGCGGCUACAUGUCGAGACAUGGGUUGCUAUCUCGGAAGAGACGCUAAUCUCUAACUCGAUCGUAGUCGAUGAGGGCUGAACCUCGCCCUCAU
rnacentral:rRNA from 1 species